rnacentral:rRNA from 1 species
UACGUAGGGGGCAAGCGUUGUCCGGAUUUACUGGGCGUAAAGAGCGUGUAGGCGGCCAGGCAGGUCUGUUGUGAAAACUGGAGGCUUAACCUCCAGACGUCGACAGAAACCGUCUGGCUAGAGUCCGGAAGAGGAGAAUGGAAUUCCCGGUGUAGCGGUGAAAUGCGCAGAUAUCAGGAAGAACACCUAUGGCGAAAGCAGCUCUCUGGGACGGUACUGACGCUGAGACGCGAAAGCGUGGGGAGCGAACAGG